AGGAGAAGUACAAAAUACAUCUACAGAAUCACUACUUAACUUUGUGUACCACCUCUCUUCUCAACCUCUCAGGACAUAGACGCUGGAGCUCUGUCCUACACCUUGAUGGGUCUGAAGAAGUUCACAGAGUACAGCAUUAGAGUGGUGGCCUUCAACAAGCACGGUCCGGGAGUGCCACAGGAGACAUCACCGUCACCACCCUGUCUGAUGUUCCCAGUGCCCCUCCUCAAAACCUCACUGUGGAAGUUCACAACUCAAAGAGCAUUAUGGUGCGGUGCAGCCCGCACCACCA